GCCUUCCCUUCGGUGCCGGCGGGAUAGCCGCUCUUUUGAGGUGUGCGUGCGGAACACAGAGCGGUUUUCGGUGCCGAGGCUGGCUGUAGCUCCGGGGAUGGUUUUUUUUCCGAUUAAAUUUCGGGUUUUAUUUUCGGCUAAAUUGCGUGUUUGGCUGCUCAAAAAAAAAAAAGAAAAAAAAAUUGGAAAAAAGAAGAUGUGAUUGCAUACGUGCAAAGAUGAGCACGUGUUCGCAUUUGUGUGUUAAUGUGCUGUCUAGAUUGCAGUAUGUAAAUCUAAUAGGUGUUAGGCACACAGGAACACAUGGAAUACACCCCAUGUGCACAGCACAGAUGUUGGAAUCCAGCUUUAACUCAAAGGUAAUGCCAGAUGUAUCUGUCCCUCUGUUUUUCCUGUAUGAGUGUAAGUACUGAACAGUAUUCUGUCUAUGUGAUUUCUGAACAUCUGUAUCUCCAGCAGACCUCUGUUAACUCUUACCUUAACAUCCCAACAUGCUAAACCCCAAAGUUAUUCUUAAAAAAUCAUCUCUUUUGUACUGUUCAGCCUUCCCUUAAAAGCAUAUUCAUCUUCUCUGCAAACAUAAAAGAAGUGUGACUCAAAUCUUGUUUCCCUAGGCCUGAAGUGAGCAAGGUCUGGUAUUUGGAUGGAAGACAAAUUUCUCAUAUAGACCAGAUUGCUGCAAGAAAUACAGCAAGAAAUGUUGAUCCUUGAGGCCCAUGAAUGUAUCCAGCAAGAACUUUGGCAGUCUUAAUGGUUUCUGGAUCUCAGCUCUGUAAAUGAUAGAUUGACGUGCAUGAAUAUAUGGAUUAUGGAACAGCUAUCAGGAUUGGUGUGAUAACAGGCUUUUGUAUCAGAAAGGGUUUUUGUCUAUUUCCUUUUUGUUGUUACAAAUUGAUUAAAAUCUCAUGUACAUGCCAUAACAGGAAAUCAAUUUCCUUGCUUUGUGCUUACAUUUUCUUAUAAUAGAAAUUCCUGUUUAUUUGACAAAUUAUAUAUUUAAUGAAAUGAGCAAAUUAAAUUUGUAUUUUAUUUCCUUUCAUUACAUAUUUCUUUGUUCUCAGUAACAUUUUUAACCAGCACUUUUUUUAUUUGUAUAGACUUAAUAGAGCUCAGUGGUUAACAUUCACACCCAAGAUGAAAUGGAAUAAGUGUCUUUGUUUUGCUGAAGGCAAAGUAUAAAAAAAAAUACAGAAAAAUGUUGUCAUCCCUUGCCUAUGAAAUUUGCAGAUGUGACAGGAUAUUCCAAACAAUAACUGCAUGUGAUUUAUCAGUACCGACUGCUGAUUGCAGUUUAAUUUGCUGCACUAACACCCAAAAUUCUACUGUAAAACACAGACCUUUUGUUUUGCAUUCCUCCUUUUGACAAAAACUGAUUUAAUUGACUUGUGUGUCCCACGUGUUAUCUUUAUUCCAAAUUCCUAGCUGGAAGAAUGUAGCACAGUCAUGAAAAACCUUCUGACCCUUCUGGAUAUGACAAAUAUAUAAUCUCAAGCCAUUUAACAUAUACUGCUGCUUACAGCAUACUUUCUCAAAUAAAGACUGUAUUUCUGAAUAUAAAAUAUAUUACUUAUGUAGAGUAAAAAGUAAUGAAUCUUCUCACUUCACAAAAAAAACCCCACAAAACACCUAUUAUCCAAAUUACUGUAUCGUUAUUUAAUAUAUCAUUUAAUUUUUCUUAGGAAUAAAAUCUGCAUGCUAGAAAUAUACCCUUAUAUAUUAUCUUAUAUAAGAAAUAGCUCUCUCCUAAUGCCAUACAAUUUUUCUUCAUCCUUUGCACACCUGAAAAACUUAUUUAUUUCCUUGAAUACUUGCCUUGAAUACUCUUCCACUAAGGAUAGGAUUCUUUCAAUUGUUUUCAUGAAUGAAACUGUUAAUUCAAGCUGCUAGUUUACAAACUGCCAAAGCUUUAAAGAGUUUGCUUAACGAUCUGACAUGUACAUGAGAUAAAUUAGCACCUAAAAAAAUGCAUCACGUGGUGUUUAUUGUUGCCAUUGUCAUUUAUCCCCUUUUUUUGCAUAACUUCCAAUAGAAGUUUGUUGAUAACAACAGAUUCAGAAGUCAGAGCUUCAGUGAACUCAUAUAUUAAAUCAUCUUGAGAUUAAUUCAUCUUGAGAUGAACUUGUGGAUAAAUCCAGGAACUUGCAUUCUUAAAGGACUCUGAGGUGGAAUUCAGAUAUCUCAGAAUGUAAGUGAAGACAGUUCCGCUCAGAAGAGCUCUCUGUGACACCUAAUCCUGAAGAGGCAAGAAGUUGUUCCAGUGCGAGAUGAGCUGUUCUUACUGGAAAAAUUCAAGUACAGCAAGUAGGUUCUGGAGCAUAAUUUAAAGGAGGCUUAUCUGCUCUAGGCUGUCCCUGUACUUAAUGGUAAACAGGUGUUAAAAGCCUCCUUAAGAUCUGAAUCAUCCUCUCAAGAAAGCUAUUUCUUUCAGUUGACUAUCCCUUUAUCCCUCAGGGAAAGUAAGUAUCUAAAAUAAUUUACAGGCUCAUUUAGGGGCUGAAUGCUAGAUGGGAAGAAGUCAGGUUCUGGAAUCUAUUUUUGGCUGUGCCAGAACUCACUAAAAAUGAGUAAGCAUCCAUGCUGCUAACCUCCGUUCUGGAAAUUAAGAGAAGCAGCUUACAUGAAAGUUCUGCACUAUUAUGUUAUAUUCUUUAAAGGUUAGUAAUAAAAAAAUUGAGUUUGAGAUUGUGUCUGUGGGAAGUCUUUAAUCACAAACCAGAUGAAUUAACAACUCUUAGGGACAAAAGUUUCUGACACAGACAAAAAUUAUGUUUGACUGAGUCAGUCUGCUAAAAGAAAUUUUUUUCUUAACCCAUAUCAAAAUAUUCCAUGAUGUAUUAUAAUUCAGAACAAGCCUGUUUAAGAGUUAAUUAGCCUUACAUUGCUCCUUCACAUCUCCCAAAGGAAGUACAAUGCACAUGAGAAAUUCACAUUUGGUUGCUGAGAAGUUUUAUACUUAAAAGCAGCUCUUGACUUCCAAUCUCUUCAUUGUUCUGCUGAGAUUUUUCCCAGUGCUGUUUUUGACCUACUCUAACUUUUCUGCGGUCAGUUUCUUUUUGGAGCAUGGAGAAUCAGAAACUGUCUUGUGUCAAAUAUUUAACUCUUUAGACUGGGUGACAUGCCGCAUGUUCACGUACUACAGCCUAAUAUAUACCACAGAAAGAUCUUGUAAGAGGUCUUUUCUUGUCAUGUCCUUCAAAAUACACGGUCCAACCAGAAAAUAGACAUUAUGAUGCUUAUACCAAUUCAGAGAGUGAGGAAUAUCUCCUCUUGACAGCCUUAACAUUAUGACUCAUUAUACCUAACAUGUCCUGGUCUCAUCUCUUUACAUCUUAAUCAGAUAAUGGCACUUACACUAAUCCUGAGGAGGGUGGAAACAGGUGAGCUCUAUACUUCUAUCAGUUAUAAAGUUAUCAGUUAUAAAACUGAUUAUUGAAAAGCGAUUAAAAACAACUGCUGUAAAAAGGCACUGACUUUGAUAAAGGCCCACAGCAUAUUCAGUCUAAAUGCUUUAAAUUAAUAUCAAGGAAUUUUGGCUUGGAGCACUGUAGGGGUUUUGUUUUGUUUUGUUUUUUUUCAGCAUUCUGAAAACUGCUGACAGAAUUUUUACUUUGUUUUUUCUUGUUAUUCUGUUGUUGCUAGUCUCUUGAUUAUGGCAUUAU